AGCCUUACUUAUAAACGUCUCUCAAAUUUAAGAGCCCCUCUUAGCUGUUGAUCAACGUUUUUUUCACUUAUAAACCCAAUUCAGUGUUGAGAGGUGUUUAAGUAACAGUUAAAUAAUGUCAAAAUUUAAGAAACGUCCGACCCUGUUUUAAAUCUAUUUGAGAGACAUCAUGGCGGAUAUAUUGUCAAACAUUUGACGUUUUGUAGUUGCCAAGAGUAUAUUAUUUGUGUUUUUAUUCACUUCGCAGUAAAAUAACUGUGGUAAAAUGGAUAUUGAUAGUUUGAGCAAGGAUUUUACGAAUGAUGUGCAGGUGCUUCGUGAUUUUAGAAUUCGUAAGCGUCAAAAAAAAGUUUAUAAGUAAACAGAGCGUGAAUCCUCUGGACCUGAAAGAAGAAGAAUUCCUGUCGUAGUUUUGGGAAGCAUAUACGAUCUGAGUCACAUGCGAACGAGGAAUAAUAACUAUAAGUUACUACUGUCGAGCGUUGCUUCGGGGUGUGGAAACAAAGAUUCCGCAUUCUUAAUGAUACGAUGUGAGGAUUCCUCCACGUGAUCAAGAUCACGAUUAUAACUGGUGCAGUUUUGCACAAUUUAACAAUACUAAUUAAUGAGCCUAUUUUAAAUCAAGAUCCUACAGGCAUUGAAAAUCAAUUAACAAAUCCAACUGUCCCUAAUAAUGUAGAAGAAUAAGAAGAUGAAUGCGAAAAUUAAGGGAAAAUAUAAACACAGUCAUAUUGAAACUUAUUUUUAUAAUUAAAUGAAUAUAUUCAGAUUUUUGUAAA